rnacentral:lncRNA from 1 species
UUGAGGUUAUAUAGCCUGAUAAAUAAAUGUUGUAACAAACUUAGUGAAAAUAAAACAUAUUAUAAGUUUUAAUUGGUUUCCUAUUUCAGCAUGCAUGCAAAAUAUACAUGUAACAAUUUUAUUAUCUGAGCCAAAAAUUGGGACAUAUAGUUCAAUGUGUUGUCUCAAGAAAAGGAAAGGGAGAAUAUUAUAAUCAGUUCUGUACUGGAAAAUCUGACACAUGUGCUUGCCCUUGGAGGAAAAGCUGGAAAUACAUAUUUACUGGCAGAUGACACCAAAUAUGUCAAUACAGAAUGGUAAGAUGGAAGUUUUUUUUCUAAUUAUAUUGAAUAAGAUUUUAUUAAAAUUGUCCCACGGACAUCGAUUUCUUAAGAAUAAUAUUUUCUAUAUAUGAGCAGUUCAUUGUGCUCUGUGGUGCAUUAGAUCCACACAGGAUAAUUACAAUUUGGGCUAUGAGAGGUUAAGAACAAAACCACACCUGUUUGGUAAAUGAUUAUUCCAAUUUUGAGAUAGAAGUCCAGGCUUAGUAUUGGGUCCUAGUAGAGACCGAAUGCUUAAAUAUGUGGUACAAAAUGGCCGUAAACUUCAGCUGCUCUUUGUGAAAUGGAUGUUUUCUUACUCAGGAAGCCAUAAUGUAUCCAUGGCCAGUAACAAAAUAUAUUCUGGCUAAAGCUGGUUGAUAAAUCACAAGUAAGUUGCAUCAGCAGGUGAAUUCUUAGUGAAUGUAUUCUUGCUGCACUGGCAACUAAACCCUCAUCUAUGGACACUUGGGAAUUCAUAAUGUACAGGGAAUGAACCAGAAAAAAGAAUUCAAGAC